rnacentral:lncRNA from 1 species
UAAAAUUUUAGCAUCCCUUAGUAGAUGCUACCCAAUACACAAAAAUUUAGAAAUUGUUCAUAGUUACAUCACCAAGAUUUUAAAAUUAAAUUACAAAAAUAUUGUUCUUGGAUCACUAGGGUGCCUCCUAGUAAGCGCUCUUUUUAUGUCACUAGCUUGACCCGAUAGAGUUCAAAUACCCAUCAGUCGGUGUUGAGACUCCCCUUACUUGAUAUUCUUUUCUUUUUCUUCUUCUUGCUGAAUUUCUUCAUAAAGUUGAGAACACCAAUCACAUGUUUCCAUGUUUCAAUCAUAGGAACUUUAAUCUCCAAUUUCUUGAAGAUCUCCAUAAAGCACUUGACUUUCUUUUCCUUUCUAUGAUAUUUUUUUGAAUGAUGAAGGGGUUUUUCAUAUGAUCUUUUCUUCUUUCCUCUCUUCCUUUUUUUCUCACUUUUCUCCUCUCUCACCUUUCUCUUUUUCUUUUUUCUUUCUUUCUUUAUUUUCACAAUUUUUCUCUUUCUUUCUUUUCUCUCAACCACUGCUUUUUCCUUAUCAUCAUUUUUAUCCCCCUCACUCAACUUUUCUGUUUCUUCUUCCUCUCCAUCUCUCUCUAUCUCUAUUUUGUUCUCAUCAACAAUCUUAUCACCUUUAAAGAUAGUGGCUU